UCCGUAGGUGAACCUGCGGAAGGAUCAUUAAUGUAUAUUGAAUUUUAUAUUCUUUAUCAACCCACACUGUGUACCUUUUUACUGUUGCUUCCAUGGGACUUGGCUCUGCCACGUCGGCCUUAUGGCUGGUGAGCGCCCAUGGGAGGAAAACAAAACUCUUUGUUACAAUUGAAGUCUGUCUGAAUUGUUUAUAUUAAACGUUAAAACUUUCAACAACGGAUCUCUUGGUUCCCGCAUCGAUGAAGAACGCAGCGAAACGCGAUAGUUAAUGUGAAUUGCAGAAUUCAGUGAAUCAUCGAGUCUUUGAACGCACAUUGCGCCUUUUGGUAUUCCGAGAGGCACGUCUGUUUGAGCGUCAGCAAAACCCUCCGGCCCCCGGUUUUUCCGCGGGGCACGGGCCAGCUGGCGCGGGGACUGGCCGCCGCGCUCAGGCGCGGGCGGGCCUUCCCCCGCUUAAAGGUGUGGAAGUUAGCGGGGUGCGCCCCGGAUCGCGACGACUCGUAAGCACUUACCGUCGGAAGCGUCCGGGACAUGCCCCCCGCCUCACAACAUGAGUGGCCCUCGCGGGGCCCUCCGAACCCUUGACCUCAGGAUCAGGGACGGAGGGGGAUACCCGGGCCUGGAACUUAAGGCAUAUCAAUAAGGCGGGGGAGGGGAAGG
rnacentral:rRNA from 1 species